GACAGAGGGGGCAAGCGUUGCUCGGAAUCACUGGGCGUAAAGGGCGCGUAGGCGGGAUGGCAAGUCGGUCGUGAAAUCCUUCGGCUCAACCGAAGAACGUCGGCCGAUACUGCCGUUCUUGAGGGAUGCAGAGGAGAUUGGAAUUCCCGGUGUAGCGGUGAAAUGCGUAGAGAUGUGGAGGAACACCGAUGGCGAAGGCAGCCUCCUGGGCCAGCACUGACGCUCAUGCACGAAAGCGUGGGGAGCAAACAGG
rnacentral:rRNA from 1 species